rnacentral:rRNA from 1 species
GACAGAGGCCUCAAGCGUUAGGCGGAAUCACUGGGCUUAAAGCGUGUGUAGGCGGGUCGUUAAGUACCUUGUGAAAUCCCACGGCUCACCCCGUGGAACUGCUGGGUAUACUGGCAAUCUUGGGCCAACUAGGGGCAACUGGAACAAGCGGUGGAGCGGUGAAAUGCGUAGAUAUCGGGAAGAACACCCGUGGCGAAGGCGGCUCUCUGGGACGGUACUGACGCUGAGACGCGAAAGCGUGGGGAGCGAACAGG